rnacentral:misc_RNA from 1 species
AACAAGGCGUACCUGCGGACCUGCGGAGGGAUCAUUACAGAGUUCGUGCCCUCGCGGGUAGAUCUCCCACCCUUGUGUAUUUUCUACAUCUUGUUGCUUUGGCAGGCCGUUGGUUCGCCAACCACCGGCUCGCGGGCUGGUGCGUGCCUGCCAGAGGACCUCUCAAACUCGGUUUGUUAGUGUCGUCUGAGUACCAUAACAAUCGUUAAAACUUUCAACAAUGGAUCUCAGAUCGGAAGA